ACUGGGGCCAUGGACAAGGGACAAGGCUGCUCUGCUACUGAGCCUUGACACCCAACUUCCAGGACCUGGGCUGAGACAGCAAGCAGAGCCAGCCGUGACCAGGAUCUUCGGCUCUGGCCCCUUGUCCUCUUCCAUUUAAACCCAGAGCUCAACUUGGCACACAAAGACAGACUUGGGGAGUCACUGAACCUUAUUAUCUAUCUGUCUUUCUAAUGAGGCCACAUUAAAUAAGUCUCUCAGUCUCUCA